rnacentral:rRNA from 1 species
AGAGUUUGAUCCUGGCUCAGGAUGAACGCUGGCGGCGUGCUUAACACAUGCAAGUCGAACGGACCGUUUUCGGACGGUUAGUGGCAGACGGGUGCGUAACACGUAGGUGACCUGCCCUCGAGUGGGGAAUAACUCGACUAACGUCGAGCUAAUACCGCAUAUGUUUGCUGAUUCAUUUCGGUAAGUAAAGCAGCAAUGCGCUUGGGGAUGGGCCUGCGGCGGAUUAGGUAGUUGGUGGGGUAACGGCCUACCAAGCCGAUGAUCCGUAGGGGGCGUGAGAGCGUGGCCCCCCACAUUGGCACUGAGACACGGGCCAAACUCCUACGGGAGGCAGCAGUGAGGAAUAUUGCACAAUGGGCGAAAGCCUGAUGCAGCAACGCCGCGUGAGGGACGAAGGCCUUCGGGUUGUAAACCUCUUUUCUGGGGGACGAGCAAGGACGGUACCUCAGGAAUAAGUCUCGGCUAACUACGUGCCAGCAGCCGCGGUAAAACGUAGGAGGCGAGCGUUAUCCGGAUUUACUGGGCGUAAAGCGCACGCAGGUGGCUGUGUAAGUCGGACAUGAAAGCUCCUGGCUUAACUGGGAGAGGUGGUUCGAAACUGCAUAGCUUGAGGUUGGGAGAGGGACGUGGAAUUCCCGGUGUAGUGGUGGAAUGCGUAGAUAUCGGGAGGAACACCAGUGGCGCAAGCGGCGUCCUGGCCCACACCUGACGCUGAGGUGCGAAAGCGUGGGUAGCAAACAGGAUUAGAUACCCUGGUAGUCCACGCUGUAAACGAUGUCAACUAGGUGUCGGCAGUUUUACACUGGCGGUGCCGAAGCUAACGCGUUAAGUUGACCGCCUGGGGACUACGGCCGCAAGGCUAAAACUCAAAGGAAUUGAUGG